CAUAUGCAGGGCAAGAAACUCGUAUCUGUGACAUCCAAUUCCUCGCAACAUAUAGGGCAGGAAGAAGGCACGUUAACAGCUUUUGAACAAUGCCACGGGAAUCCACCCUGUCCACGAUGCCCCUCUGCAUUUGGAAAGCUCCGCUGCUUCGACAAAUUAGGAAGACUCUGUGGGCGAAAUGCAUCAUCCGGCCUCCACGCCCGGCUAUUCCCAGGAGACAGUCUAGGUAGUGCCUUUCUUGGGCCCUCUUGCUUCAAAUCCUCACAAGUAGAACCCAAAUUAUUGGAACUAGAAUCUGAUCGAACACCAUGUUCAAUUUGCAGGGAGGACUCCGUCACCAGGCAUGGACACGGAUUGUCGUUUCGAUUUUCUUGCUUGUUAUCAUCAUUGGCAGCUAAAGCAUCAGCCACAGCCUCCCAAUCGUCCAAGCAAUCAUCAUCCGCUUCUUCUUCUUCCUCCUCUGUAAUGCUGCCAGAGCAACAGCCACCACUGCUGCUACUACUGCUGCUGCGGGAGGAGCCCGAGAAAUUGGUGCCAGCAUCGGUGCCGCUGAGAACGCUGCUGCCAGCCGGACUGUGGGAAGGGGAGUCAGAAUCGAAAUCGUGAUAGAUCGUACCAUUUUCCUUCUCAUCUUCAUCUCCUCUUCCUCUUCGCUUCGUCUCCAAAUUCUCUGUAGCAUUCUUUCUCUCGUUGUCGCACGGGGACACUUGUUGGCCACUCGGUUCCUCCUUGCUUCCUUUGUUCUUAACUGCAACUUGAGAUAGCCAUUGCUCGCGACGAGCAUCAAGCUUGCACUGCUUCAGUUUGGCAGAACGGUUAGCCCGCCUUCUUCUUCUUGCCGAAAUCCUUAGGAGCAUAAGGAAUGGAAGCGUUGAUCGAAUCGGAAACCAUGGCUGCAAAACACAGGGAUUCAAAUUCGAACAAGAGAGAUUCGCAAAAACCCUAAUUAAUUUGAUUUCGAAAGAUAAGAGAUUAUCUGAGAAUUUCUAGAGAGAGAUGAGAGAUGGCUAUUGCUAGAUAGAGAAAGAUAAUGGAUAACGGAAACUCCUCUGCUCC
rnacentral:misc_RNA from 1 species